AUUCCGGUUGAUCCUGCCGGAGGCCAUUGCUAUUGGGAUCCGAUUUAUUCAUGCGAGUUGCGCGGGUUCAGACCCGCAGCGAACGGCUCCGUAACACGUGGUCAAGCUACCCUGUGGAUCGGGACACCCUCGGGAAACUGAGGCUAAUCCCGAAUAGCGCUUCCGUCCUGGAGCGGAGGAAGCGUCAAAGCUCCGGCGCCACAGGAUGUGACUGCGGCCGAUUAGGUAGACGGUGGGGUAACGGCCCACCGUGCCGAUAAUCGGUACGGGUAGUGAGAGCUAGAGCCCGGAGACGGACUCUGAGACAAGAGUCCGGGCCCUACGGGGCGCAGCAGAAGCGAAACCUUUACACUGCACGACAGUGCGAUAGGGGGAUCCCAAGUGCGAGGGCAUACAGUCCUCGCUUUUGCCUACCGUAAGGCGGUAGGCGAAUAAGAGCUGGGCAAGACCGGUGCCAGCCGCCGCGGUAAUACCGGCAGCUCGAGUGAUGGCCGAUCUUAUUGGGCCUAAAGCGUCCGUAGCCUGCUGGACAGGUCCGUCGGGAAAUCCACCCGCUCAACGGGUGGGCGUCCGACGGAAACCAGCCAGCUUGGGACCGAGCGACCCGAGGGGUACGUCCGGGGUAGGAGUGAAAUCCCGUAAUCCUGGACGGACCACCGGUGGCGAAAGCGCCUCAGGAGAACGGAUCCGACGGUGAGGGACGAAAGCCAGGGUCUCGAACCGGAUUAGAUACCCGGGUAGUCCUAGCCGUAAACGAUGCUCGCUAGGUGUGGCACAGGCUACGAGCCUGUGCUGUGCCGUAGGGAAGCCGAGAAGCGAGUCGCCUGGGAAGUACGUCCGCAAGGAUGAAACUUAAAGGUGCAUGGCCGCCGUCAGCUCGUACCGUGAGGCGUCCUGUUAAGUCAGGCAACGAGCGAGACCCGUGUCCCUAAUUGCCAGCAACACCGAGAGGUGGUUGGGUACAUUACGGAGACUGCCGCUGCUAAAGCGGAGGAAGGAACGGGCAACGGUAGGUCAGUAUGCCCCGAAUGUGCCGGGCUACACGCGGGCUACAAUGGCCGGGACAGUGGGACGCGACGCCGAGAGGCGAAGCUAAUCUCCGAAACCCGGUCGUAGUUCGGAUUGCGGGUUGAAACUCACCCGCACGAAGCUGGAUUCGGUAGUAAUCGCGCCUCAGAAGGGUGCGGUGAAUACGUCCCUGCUCCUUGCACACACCGCCCGUCAAAGCACCCGAGUGAGGUCCGGAUGAGGCCGGCGCAACGCCGGUCGAAUCUGGGCUUCGCAAGGGGGCUUAAGUCGUAACAAGGUAGCCGUAGGGGAAUCUGCGGCUGGAUCACCUCCUAACGAUCGG
rnacentral:rRNA from 1 species